UUUAUUCAGAUAAAGAACAGUUAUUUAAAGAAACUGCUAUAAAUCUAAAGGAAUUAAGUUUUCAUACACAAUAAGAGCAACAACAUACUGUUUUAAUAAUGGAUUAUAACUUAAAGGGUAAAAUGAUAAUACCUGUUGUGCCAGCAUCUCCUGCUGGUCAGAAUUAACUCCAAGACAAGCACAAGCAAUGGAAAACUGCACCAGAAACAAAAGAAAUAAUAUGACCAUGUA